CGGAAAUCUCAAACAAAAUGUAAAAGUUCUAUUUCAACAUAGUUUUAUUCUAGAUUCUUCUUUGACAAUUUAGGACAAAAUCUGGACUUAACUGGGACUGAACCUGGGACUGAACUGGGAAUGAACCAGGACUGAACCAGGACUGAAACAGGCACUAAACCAGGAUUGAAAUUUAUGACUAAACUAGGGAUUAAACCAGGACUUUUCUCCACCCAAAUUCUGAUAUUUAUUUGGUUGUUUUGCUCUGAGAUUUCUGAGUUUUUGUCAAAUCAAACAUCUUUAAUCCAAAUUCAAACAUGAAAAAGCCACAAAAGGAUUCAAAGGGAAAAAGUGUCACAGAUUUAACACAAACAGAACCUGAAAACCUCUGGACGAAGGGCUUCUCUGCUGUGCACUAAUCUGACAUUAGAUUGAACAUGUUUGAACAUUCACCCAGAAAAAGAAUUUCAUAUUUUUGUCUGAAAUGUAUUUAUUUUCUGGAUUUGAAUCAAGAGAAAUUUACCAGAGGUUUCUGAAAAUCCUACUAAACUAAUACAAGUUUAAACUAGAACUAAACCAGGACUAAACCAGGACUAAGCCAAUGUGUAAACCAGGGACUAAACCAGGGACUAAACCAGGGACUAAACCAGGGACUAAACCAGGGACUAAACCAGAGAACUGAGCAGGACUGAGCCAGGACUUACCCUGGUCAAGUCCUGAACUUCUCCUGACCUAGACCAGGUCUAAACCAGGUCUAAACCAGGUCUAAACCAGGUCUAAAACAGGUCUAAAACAGGUCUAAAACAGGUCUAAAACAGUACUUAACCUUUCUAAACUCAUCAUGAUUUAUUAAAAAGAUGGAUUAAUAAAAGUAUUGUUCUUUCAGAAUCUUCUGGUAAAUAAAUCUUGUUUGUUUUGACUGAGGAGGAUUUAAAGAAGCUCCAAACUCUGUGUAAGACUUUUAUUCUGAAACUGUCUCCGUCCUGUUUCAUGAUUUAUUCUGAAAAUCCACCAAAGCAAUAUCCAUCUGUCACGCAUCCACUUUCAGUGUUCUUCACAAACUUCAAAACAGUUUAAACUGAAACAGAACCCAAAACCUUCAUACUUGUCAAUCAUGAUUUAUUCUGUUAAUGUUUACUUUGCUGUUUUUUUCCUUUGUCAAGUGCCAUUUUUCAGUUUUCUCCUAAACUGUUCAUCCUCUACACUCCUAUUUAAAGAGGGGGUAUUCUGCAAAAUGGACUUUUUGGCACUUUCUACCAUGUUAUAAUGUAGUUUCCUCAAAAGGUUUUAGAUGUCAUCCAUGCGUGUUUGAGUAAUAUAGCGAUCUCUCCUCGGCCCUAUUCAAAACGUCCUUAUGCUUAGCAAUACGAUCCUGUACAAGGCUCUGCCCAUAAGCCUAUGUCACCCAUGCUCCCAGAUGACAGUGCUACAUAAAUAUACAAAAACAUGAUAAAACACAACAACUUGACAAACCUGAUGUGAGGUGCAGUAGUUUCAUUAGUGGGAUGCAGCUCAUUGUAAUGUCAUAGAGCUCUGAAGGGGGAGUGACUUAGCAUGGGGAGCAAUGGGGUGGGGGCACUCAGAGUGUCAAAAAUGAAAGUAAAACCUAUAAAAUUUGUUAAUACGUUGUUUUAGGUGAAUAUAGCAUGUUCAAAACAAUAAAAGAUAACCUGGUGAUCAAAAUAUGUUAGCAGUUAAUACUCCAUAGAAAUAAAAUACCCUCUCUUUAAAAUAAACAGACUGCACUAAACAUUUUAACACUAAUUAUUUUCUGACUUUAUAAAAAACAUAUCAGUUUAACACUAAAAGUAAUGACACAAAGUUUAGUUCAGAAUUCUCAGGUGGGGUUUCUGUGUAACUGUCAGAUUGACCUGGUUUAUGGUGAAUAUCUCUGUAAUCACUGGGCCAAUCCACAUGAAACAGAAACUGGCAGCGUCUUCUUUGUCUAUUUAAAGAAACAAAAGUCAAAUGUUUUUCACAAUAACUUCAGUAAGUUGUGGUCAUUGUUCAAAGGACUUUAAGCCAUAAGAUUAAUAUGAUGAGUUUGUGGAGCCAAUCCCAAACUAAUAAUGAGAAGGUUCAACAUUUGUGGCUCAUAUGUUUGGAGAUUUCUUUAAAAACAGUGAAUCUCCCAUAGAGUUACGUAGGCCCCUGCUCCAUCUGAGAUUUUAACGACAUCAAAUUCAAUACCAUCCUAGUUUAUAGAUUUUUCUUUGCACACUAAAUUCUACUAAAAUGUCUUUAGUCUCUUCUGGUGCUAAAACAGACUUUAUUUUCACUUAUUUCCGUUUCUUUUGGUCCAUUUCACGUCAAAUGUCUCUAAAACAGUGUCAUAGAUUCAUAUCCAUCAGCAUUACAUCAGAAAUAUCAUGUUUUGUUAUCGUUUACCUUUUUGUGAAGCCUCCAUUUUGUGUCGUGUCUUUGUAAAUAAAGUUUUGUGUGUAAGCCCCGCCCACUUACCUGUCAGGUGUGUAAGCUCUGCUCACUCUGUCCUCAUGACAUCACAGUGGAAACAUUUAUUCUGAUAUUAAUAUUCAUUUGUACAGUCGCUGUUUAAAGUGAA
ensembl:lncRNA